CCAUCUCUACAAAAAAGUUGAAGAGAGGCAGCAGUGAAAAGAGAAAGCAAUGGCUAAAAGAAGAAUCAAGAACAAAGCAAAAAGCCACCAACUCUAUCUGUAGCUGCGGUGACAUUUUUACACAAGGAAGGAUGUAUGCUGCCCAUCUGUCAUCAAGGACACAGUGCAGCUAAACCACUUACCCUGUCUCUUACUACAUGUAAGAAUGAAACACACUGAAGCACCUUCUUGUGGGCUCAUCCUCUUCUGCUGAGAUGGUGGUCCUGAUCUUUGCUCUCUGUACAUGCGUUAGACUUGGACCUUUUUCAUCUAAGCAGAAGCCACUAAUUCCUGCUCAACAAGCCUGGCCUGAUGUCUUCUCCGGAUAAGACCUUGCCUGGAGAACCAAUGAGGAAUCAGGUCCCAUCCUCUCCCCCUUCCUCGUGCCUUUUCAUUCUCUGAAUGGUUCAUUGUUGGAGAGUAAAAGGAACAUGGCAAAGUGAUUGGAAAUGCCAGGAAGGAGAAUGAUAUACAUCAUGUGAUGAAAGGAGAGUACAAAAAUAUUCACCAACAGCUAUGAAACGCAGCUGCCUCCACUGCAAAACCAGGCUGCUCUUGAAUAGAACACAGCAACAUCACCCAAGAGACUCAAGACCAACUCCCGCUCCAAAGCAAUUUCGUGAGCCCAAUAUUGGGGAUUAGAGACGAA